UGGUCUCGGCGGCACAAGCGAGAUGACGAAGGGAACGUCAUCCUUUGGAAAGCGUCGUAAUAAGACGCACACGUUGUGCCGCCGCUGUGGCUCUAAGGCCUACCACCUUCAGAAGUCGACUUGUGGCAAAUGUGGCUAUCCCGCCAAGCGCAAAAGAAAGUAUAACUGGAGUGCAAAGGCUAAAAGGCGAAAUACUACCGGAACCUGUCGAAUGAGGCACCUAAAAAUUGUAUAUCGCAGAUUCAGGCAUGGCUUCCGCGAAGGAACGACACCUAAACCCAAGAGAGCAGCAGUUGCAGCGUCCAGUUCAUCUUGAGAAUUGCAACACUCACUCAAAAUAAAUGCUUUGGUUU